rnacentral:tRNA from 1 species
GGGGAUUUAGCUCAGUGGUAGAGCGCUUGCCUAGCAAAUGCAAGGCCAUGGGUUCAGUCCCCA